rnacentral:rRNA from 1 species
UGGGGAAUAUUGGGCAAUGGGCGAAAGCCUGACCCAGCAACGCCGCGUGAAGGAAGAAGGUUUUCGGAUUGUAAACUUCUGUCCUCAGGGAAGAAGGACGUGACGGUACCUGAGGAGGAAGCCCCGGCUAACUACGUGCCAGCAGCCGCGGUAAUACGUAGGGGGCGAGCGUUGUCCGGAAUGACUGGGCGUAAAGGGCGCGUAGACGGCUUUUUAAGUCUGGAGUGAAAGUCCUGCUUUCAAGGUGGGAAUUGCUUUGGAGACUGGAAGGCUUGAGUGCAGAAGAGGUAAGUGGAAUUCCCAGUGUAGCGGUGAAAUGCGUAGAGAUUGGGAGGAACACCAGUGGCGAAGGCGACUUACUGGGCCGUAACUGACGUUGAUGCGCGAAAGCGUGGGGAGCGAGCAG